rnacentral:misc_RNA from 1 species
GUUUAACCCUUCGGGGUUGUCCCAAGAACAUAAGUAGAUGGAAUGACCCUAGGGUGAAUUGUGACUAACUUUUAUUAUUAUUUUUAUUAAAUUCCUCUCUCUGCAAGAUUAGGACUCUAAUUUCAGAGAGACAUUAUUUGGUUCCUAGAGAUUCAUGAUGAGUGAGGAAGACCCUCGGCUCACUCAUCAUUCAUCUCCUCAUUAGUG